UACGGAAGGCAGCAGUGGGGAAUAUUGCACAAUGGGCGCAAGCCUGAUGCAGCCAUGCCGCGUGUAUGAAGAAGGCCUUCGGGUUGUAAAGUACUUUCAGCGGGGAGGAAGGCGAUGCGGUUAAUAACCGCGUCGAUUGACGUUACCCGCAGAAGAAGCACCGGCUAACUCCGUGCCAGCAGCCGCGGUAAUACGGAGGGUGCAAGCGUUAAUCGGAAUUACUGGGCGUAAAGCGCACGCAGGCGGUCUGUUAAGUCAGAUGUGAAAUCCCCGGGCUUAACCUGGGAACUGCAUUUUGAACUGGCAGGCUUGAGUCUUGUAGAGGGGGUAGAAUUCCAGGUGUAGCGGUGAAAUGCGUAGAGAUCUGGAGGAAUCCGGUGGCGAAGGCGGCCCCUGGGACAAAGCUGACGCUCAGGUGCGAAAGCGUGGGGAGCAAACAGGGAUUAGGAUACC
rnacentral:rRNA from 1 species